CUUUCUUCUUCCCCUCAGCAGCUGCAACCUCUCUUUCCCAAGCAGACACACACACACACAGCUUCCCCCACAACCCAGCAGCUGCGCAGCCCUAUCCUAGCCACAACACAGUUUUCUAUCUCUCUUUCCAUGAAUGGAAAGCAAUAGAAGCAGAAAGGGAGAGAUGGAGCAGAGUUGCGAUCCGGGGAGGGGAUGAGCCGCGCGGUCGUCGGUCAUCUCGGCGCCGUGCUCAAGUCGCUCUGCCCAAUCUCCGCCUGUGCUGCCAGACCCGCCGCGGUCAGCUGUCACAGGGUCGCCGUCAAGCCGUGUCGGAGGAGGAGCGCCGCCGCCGUGCCUCCAUCGUCACUGAGGACGCCGGUUGUCGCUGCCGCCAUCAGAAAAGGGCUCAGGUCGCCGCCGGUGUCGCUGCCGGAUAAAGGAGCUGCAUCUCUGUGAUUCUGACUGCUGGGGAUGGUCCUGUGACUUCCGGGAUCUCCGCCGGAGCUCCGGGCUGAGCCUCUGCCGCUUGAGACCCUGCUGCUGUCGCCGGAAAAGGUUGCCGAUGUCAUGAUCAGAAUUUGUCGCCGCUGCCGCUUGAGGUGGCUGCCGGGCUGUUGCCGAGCCGGCCCGGGGAACGCCGCUGUUUCGGUUCAGCCGUCCUUUCUUAGUUUCGUGUUGCGAUAGUUAUUGCGAAAGUGGCUGGGAGCUGAGGUUUUGGUUGCCGUCAGUUCGG